AACCUUGAGUAAUCGCGCCUAGCAUCUGUUAGGUGAGGAAAGUCCAUGCCCGCACUGGCUGCGAUGCCAGUAGUGUUCGUGCCAGGCCCAAUAAGCCUGGGUACUGAGAAAUCGGUAACGGCGACUCAAUUGCUAAAACUUCGGUCAUGCAGGCGAGUCUGAAAAGUGCCACAGAGACGAUGUCAUCGGGAAACUGGUGGAUUGGAACGGGUAAACCCCGCGAGCGAGUAACCCAAACUUUGGUAGGGGCGUCUGAGUAGAGGAAAUGAACCAACGCUCAGACAGCGAAAGCUGAGAUAGAUGAUUACUGAAGGUAUCUGCUGCCUGGCAGGUACUGGAACAAAACAUGGCUUAUAGAG
rnacentral:RNase_P_RNA from 3 species